rnacentral:rRNA from 1 species
UACGUAGGUGGCAAGCGUUGUCCGGAUUUAUUGGGUUUAAAGGGUGCGUAGGCGGUUCACUAAGUCAGCAGUGAAAUACUUCAGCUUAACUGGAGAGGUGCUGUUGAUACUGGAGGACUUGAGUACUGAUGAGGUAGGCGGAAUGGACGGUGUAGCGGUGAAAUGCUUAGAUAUCGUCCAGAACACCGAUAGCGAAGGCAGCUUACUAAGGAGUAACUGACGCUGAGGCACGAAAGUGUGGGGAUCAAACAGG